GUUAUAUGGUCAAGUGAAUAAGCGCAGACGGUGGAUGCCUAGGCGGUAGGAGGCGAUGAAGGACGUGGUAGCCUGCGAAAAGCUUCGGGGAGUCGGCAAACAGACGUUGAUCCGGAGAUGUCCGAAUGGGGAAACCCACCUGCCAUCAGGCAGGUAUCGUGCACUGAAUCCAUAGGUGUACGAAGCAAACCCGGGGAACUGAAACAUCUCAGUACCCGGAGGAACAGAAAUCAACCGAGAUUCCCUCAGUAGCGGCGAGCGAACGGGGAUUAGCCCUUAAGCGCGGUCAAGAGUAGUGGAACGGUCUGGAAAGUCCGGCGGCACAGGGUGAUAGCCCCGUACACGAAACUCUUUUCCGGGUGAAAUCGAGUAGGGCGGGACACGUGAUAUCCUGUCUGAACAUGGGGGGACCAUCCUCCAAGGCUAAAUACUCCCUACCGACCGAUAGUGAACCAGUACCGUGAGGGAAAGGCGAAAAGAACCCCGUUGAGGGGAGUGAAAUAGAACCUGAAACCGUCUGCGUACAAGCAGUGGGAGCCCCUUCGGGGGUGACUGCGUACCUUUUGUAUAAUGGGUCAGCGACUUACUUCUCAGUGGCAAGCUUAACCGAUGAGGGGAGGCGUAGCGAAAGCGAGUCUGAACAGGGCGAUUCAGUCGCUGGGAGUAGACCCGAAACCGGGCGAUCUACCCAUGGCCAGGGUGAAGGCGCGGUAACACGCGCUGGAGGCCCGAACCGGGAUCUGUUGAAAAAGAUUCGGAUGAGCUGUGGGUCGGAGUGAAAGGCUAAUCAAGCCCGGAGAUAGCUG
rnacentral:rRNA from 1 species